rnacentral:rRNA from 1 species
GACGAACGCUGGCGGCGUGCCUAAUACAUGCAAGUCGAACGAGUGGCGGACGGGUGAGUAAUGUCUGGGAAACUGCCCGAUGGAGGGGGAUAACUACUGGAAACGGUAGCUAAUACCGCAUACCAUCGGAUGUGCCCAGAUGGGAGUAGCGAGUAGGUGGGGUAACGGCUCACCUAGGCGACGAUCCCUAGCUGGUCUGCGAGGAUAACCAGCCAAUCGGGAACUUAGACAGGGUCCAGACUCCGUCGGGAGGCAGCAGUGGGGAAUAUUGCACAAUGGGCGCAAGCCUGAUGCAGCCAUGCCGCGUGGAUGAAGAAGGCCUGCGGGUUGUAAAGUACUUUCAGCGAGGAGGCGUUACUCGCAGAAGAAGCACCGGCUAACUCCGUGCCAGCAGCCGCGGUAAUAC